rnacentral:rRNA from 1 species
CGCUCUUUGCUUUCAUAUAACAUAAAGAGUCGAACCUGCCCAGUGAUUCUAUUUAACGGCCGCGGUACUCUGACCGUGCAAAGGUAGCAUAAUCAUUUGCCUUAUAAUUGAAGGCUCGUAUGAACGGUUUGACAAGAGUAAAACUGUCUCUAUAUAAAUUUUAUAGAAUUUGGUUUUUAGGUGAAGAAACCUAAAUAAAAUUGAAAGACAAGAAGACCCUAUCGAGCUUAAAAUAAGUUUCUUGAAAAUAUUAAAGACUAGAUUCAUGAAAAAAUUUUGGUUGGGGCGACUAAGGAACAUCCAAAGCUUCCUAUAAAAUAUACAAACUAAUAAGUUUUGAUCCAAAAAUUUGAUUAACAGAAAUAGUUACCGUAGGGAUAACAGCAUAAUCUUUUUUGAGAGUUCAUAUCGAAAAAAAGGUUUGUGACCUCGAUGUUGGACUAGGAUACCCAGAAAAGGUGCAGAAGCCUUCAAUGGUUGGUCUGUUCGACCACUAAUAUCCUACGU